AGCAUUAACCCAGUCGUAUGUUAGUUCGCCACUGUCUACUGAUGUUUGGAAGAUUUGGCGUAUUCCAGGUGCAAGUUGUUUAGCACAGUUAGCUGCGACUGGAAGGCUGAUGAGCAUCUCGUAUUGUCGACUGUGAUGUCUUAUUCAAAAUAUAUUGACUCUUAACGGCAAUCGAAAUGAAGAUUGGGCUCAUACUAUAAAUAGUUUUGGCGCUUUUUGACGUGGUUAUAUGUGUUGUACCAACUUAUUUGCCAAAGAAAACUUUGAAUCAGAGAUCUGAACUUAUUAUUGAAUAUUUCAAAAUUUUGCUAAUUCAAACACACCUUGAUCGAAUUGCUCAAAAUUGGAAAAAUCAAACGAUUAGACCCAAAAGAAUAACGAGCUCAAUUUUGCAAAAACCUGACGUAAUGUUCCAUUUACCAGAUCUAUUCGAUAGCCAAGAUUUCGGCACAAAUGUUGAUAUUAAAGACGUAAUUUGCUUCAACGAAUGUACUCCAUUCAGAAGAACAAAAAUAAAGACUUUAAAGAAUUGGCUCAACUCCUGAAACCGGGUUUGCAAAUGCCACAUGGCGCUGAUACUGCCUGCACCCAACGGUCUGCCAUCCAGUGGAGAAACCGAUACUCCUGUGAGAACAUGCUAGGAAGAUUAACAGCGGCAGCCUUUUUCUACGGAAUUCAUACGGACUAUCGUCAUAUAAAAUGACAGUGAUUUUUUUC